UUUAUUUCCAUCUCCUCUUCCUCCUCCGAGACAUCGRCAGAGUUUUAAUGAAGAUCAUUUUACUACCAGUGGGUUUUUCUCACCCCUCAUCUGAGUGACGGAGCAACAUUGGAGUAAUUGAAGAGAGCGGGGGUUCGUUAUUUACGACGUGUCGGCCCAACGCUGGUCUGUAAACGCUGACAGCUGCCACACCUUCACCGAAACACCCUGAGGCCCGGCGCAGUCAGCUCUGGGUCAGUCUGAACACCUGAGUCCACCGAAUCCACCUGGGACCACCGAGUCCACCAGAGUCCACCUGGGACCACCGAGUCCACCUGUCCAACGUCUCUAUCCAUUAAUGACGUCACCUUAAAAUUCAUAAUUCUUCAAACUCCUGAUGGAGUUGAAAGUAAAACAUUUAAUCAAUGUAAAUCUUUUUAAAUCUUAUAUUUCCCCUUCUCCUUGUGGCAGUAAAGUAGAAUCUGUGAAAUGUUUGUUUUUGAAUUUGUUUACGUUUUGUGUUUAUUUUUACUUCAGUCGUUAGAAAGUAGCUGUGUGUUUUCGAGUGUUUCCUGCUGCAGAUCAGCUGUUUCCUGUUAUGCCAGAGGAAAAUGCUGAUUCACGUUUCAUCUGCUGAUAUCUGAGAGCGCAGCGGCCAAGGUACCACCAAGAAAAGCCUACUAAUAUCGGCCAAGGUAACACGAAGAAAAGCCCACUAAUAUCGGCCAAGGUACCACGAAGAAAAGCCCACUAAUAUCGGCCAAGGUAACACGAAGAAAAGCCCACUAAUAACGGCCAAGGUACCACCGAGAAAAGCCCACUAAUAACGGCCAAGGUACCACCAAGAAAAGCCCACUAAUGACGGCCACGGUACCACCAAGAAAAGCCCACUAAUGACGGCCACGGUACCACCAAGAAAAGCCCACCAACGGCCAAGGUACCACCAAGAAAAGCCCACUAACGGCCACGGUACCACCAAGAAAAGCCCACUAACGGCCAAGGUACAACCAAGAAAAGCCCACUAACGGCCAAGGUACCACCAAGAACAGCCCACUAAUAACGGCCAAGGUACCACCAAGAAAAGCCCACUAAUGACACGCCGACCUGCAUUGUUUAUCCAUUUGCUUCACAUAUUUUCCUGUGGCUCGGCGGA